rnacentral:rRNA from 1 species
ACCAGCAGCCAUAUCACCCUGCAACUCACAACUGGCAGCCCAACUGGAGCUCAGCAGAGUGAGCCUGAUCAGUACCUGGAUGGGAGACCUCCUGGGGAAAACUAAGGUUGCUACUGGAA